rnacentral:rRNA from 1 species
GAGGGGCAUCAGUUUGGUUUGCUUGCAAACAAAGCUGGCGACCGGCGCACGGGUGAGUAACACGUAUCCAACCUGCCUCAUACUCGGGGAUAGCCUUUCGAAAGAAAGAUUAAUAUCCGAUAGCAUAUAUUUCCCGCAUGGGUUUUAUAUUAAAGAAAUUCGGUAUGAGAUGGGGAUGCGUUCCAUUAGUUUGUUGGGGGGGUAACGGCCCACCAAGACUACGAUGGAUAGGGGUUCUGAGAGGAAGGUCCCCCACAUUGGAACUGAGACACGGUCCAAACUCCUACGGGAGGCAGCAGUGAGGAAUAUUGGUCAAUGGACGCGAGUCUGAACCAGCCAAGUAGCGUGAAGGAUGACUGCCCUAUGGGUUGUAAACUUCUUUUAUAUGGGAAUAAAGUUGUCCACGUGUGGAUUUUUGUAUGUACCAUAUGAAUAAGGAUCGGCUAACUCCGUGCCAGCAGCCGCGGUAAUACGGAGGAUCCGAGCGUUAUCCGGAUUUAUUGGGUUUAAAGGGAGCGUAGAUGGAUGUUUAAGUCAGUUGUGAAAGUUUGCGGCUCAACCGUAAAAUUGCAGUUGAUACUGGAUGUCUUGAGUGCAGUUGAGGCAGGCGGAAUUCGUGGUGUAGCGGUGAAAUGCUUAGAUAUCACGAAGACUCCGAUUGCGAAGGCAGCCUGCUAAGCUGCAACUGAC